GUCAAACGGAGCCAGACGCGGCGGUGGCGGCGGCUCUGCUGGCUCCGGUCGCUCCCGCCUCCCCAGCGCUGCCGGCGGCCGCAGCGGCGCACCCCCGCCGGCCCGGAGGAGCAGAGUGAGAUGGAUGUUCCCUCCUCUACUCCAGGCCAGUUUCCCAAGGCAUCUGGGUAAUGUCUAUGUGAUUAAACAGUCUCUUGGGAAUAGAACUCCUUUCAGUUAAGCAGCUCUGUUUUCCAGAAAUCCCUGGAUAAUUUUAUGACCAUGUGGUAAAGUGUUCAUUUCUGUGUCGGGCACAGUGCUAAGUGCUGGGUGCUCACUGGUGAUGAGGCAGAUGAAGGUUACCAAACUUGUGGACAGGAGCCUCAUGUCAGAGACGUGGACCUCACUGUAGCCUGGUCAUGGCUUCCAGCUUUUCGAAUCUGAGGCUCCAAAGGAGGAAAUGACCAUUCAGGGAUCUUACUCCAGCUUGAUUACGGAAACUGAACCUUCAUAGGGUGCGCACUUACCAAGGACAGGAAGGUUUCUCUCUUUGAAGGG
rnacentral:sRNA from 1 species